GAUGAACGCUAGCGGCAGGCUUAACACAUGCAAGUCGAGGGGCAGCGCGGGAUAGCAAUAUCCUGGCGGCGACCGGCGGAAGGGUGCGUAACGCGUGAGCGACAUGCCCGUUGCCCGGGGACAACCGGUGGAAACGCCGACUAAUCCCCCGAUGGGAUACGAUGCUUCAUGGCAUUGUAUUGAAAGUUACGGCGGCGACGGAUUGGCUCGCGUCCGAUUAGCUUGUUGGCGGGGUAACGGCCCACCGAGACGACGAUCAGUAGGGGUUCUGAGAGGAAAGUCCCCCACAUUGGAACUGAGACACGGUCCAAACUCCUACGGGAGGCAGCAGUGAGGAAUAUUGGUCAAUGGGCGGAAGCCUGAACCAGCCAAGUAGCGUGCAGGACGACGGCCCUAUGGGUUGUAAACUGCUUUUAUGCGGGGAUAAAGUGGGCCACGCGUGGCCUUUUGCAGGUACCGCAUGAAUAAGGACCGGCUAAUUCCGUG
rnacentral:rRNA from 1 species